UACGGAGGGUGCGAGCGUUGUCCGGAAUCACUGGGCGUAAAGGGCGCGUAGGUGGCGCGGGCAGUCAACGGUGAAAGUUCGGGGCUCAAACCCUGAAUCGGCCGCUCGACUACUCCCGGGCUUGAGGCAUGUAGAGGCUAAUGGGAAUUCCGGGUGUAGCGGUGGAAUGCGUAGAGAUCCGGAAGAACACCGGUGGCGAAGGCGGUUAGCUGGGCAGUUGCUGACACUGAGGCGCGACAGCGUGGGGAGCAAACAGGG
rnacentral:rRNA from 1 species